AGAGUUUGAUCCUGGCUCAGGAUAAAACGCUGGCGGCGCACAUAAGACAUGCAAGUCGAACGAACUUAAUUCGAAUGUUUACAUUUGGAAGCGGUUAGUGGCGGACUGGUGAGUAACACGUAAGCAACCUGCCUGUUAGAGGGGAAUAACAGUGAGAAAUCAUUGCUAAUACCGCAUAUGCCAUAAAGACCACAUGGUUUUAGUGGGAAAGGAGAAAUCCGCUAACAGAUGGGCUUGCGUCUGAUUAGAUAGUUGGUGGGGUAAAGGCCUACCAAGUCGACGAUCAGUAGCCGAACUGAGAGGUUGAACGGCCACAUUGGGACUGAGAUACGGCCCAGACUCCUACGGGAGGCAGCAGUCGGGAAUAUUGCACAAUGGAGGAAACUCUGAUGCAGUGACGCCGCGUGCAGGAAGAAGGUUUUCGGAUUGUAAACUGCUUUAGACAGGGAAGAAACAAGACAGUACCUGUAGAAUAAGCUCCGGCUAACUACGUG
rnacentral:rRNA from 1 species